GAUGAACGCUAGCGGGAGGCCUAACACAUGCAAGCCGAGCGGUAGAGUCUCUUCGGAGCCUUGAGAGCGGCGCACGGGUGCGGAACACGUGUGCAACCUGCCUUUAUCUGGGGGAUAGCCUUUCGAAGGGAAGAUUAAUACCCCAUAAUAUACUGGAUGGCAUCAUCUGGUAUUGAAAACUCCGGUGGCUAGAGAUGGGCACGCGCAAGAUUAGAUAGUUGGUGAGGUAACGGCUCACCAAGUCAGCGAUCUUUAGGGGGCCUGAGAGGGUGAUCCCCCACACUGGUACUGAGACACGAACCAGGCUCCUACGGGAGGCAGCAGUGAGGAAUAUUGGACAAUGGGUGAGAGCCUGAUCCAUCCAUCCCGCGUGAAGGACGACGUCCCUCUGGGUUGUAAACUUCUUUUGUAUAGGGAUAAACCUAGAUACGUGUAUCUAGCUGAAGGUACUAUACGAAUAAGCACCGGCUAACUCCGU
rnacentral:rRNA from 1 species